GGCUUCCAGGGACUUCCUACCCACGUCGACACCGCGGCCCUGGGUGGGUGUCCCGGAACCCCGCUGCCACCACCACCCAUCGCACCCCCGAGGGCACAUCCCCUCCCUCCAGCUGUCCCUACAAACCCCGCGGGGCCGGAGGCGCUCAGGGCUCGCUCCUUCCCAGCUCUCAUUUAGGAAGAGCCAAAGCCUCGCGGCGGAGACGCCUCCAUCCCAUCCAGGCACAACUGCUGAUUGUUAAGCGCCGGGAGGGCUUUGGUUUCACGGCCCUGCAGUGAGCAGGGCGAAGUCAUGCAGAGAAGGAUGCAUCUCCCCCUCGUACCGAUCGCAGCAGUGCCCAUGGAGGACAUGGAACCGUGGGUUUCCCCGCUGCAGGAGGGCUGGGGCUGUCCCUGUGGGUAUCCGUGGCAUUGCCGGGGAGCAAAUCCCCACAGCGCCCUGUUGGAAGCAGUGAGAACACCGCUUGGGUUUCUCCAGGGCUCAGCUGCCCAUGGAGGAGGAAACCAGUGCUGCUCAGCCCAGGGGUGGCAGAUCAGUCCAGCUCACAGCCCGAUUCGAUCCCCCGGCUGCUUUCCCUUCGUUUCCUUAGAGGGAAAGUUCCUCCCACACCCACUGCUGCUCUCAGAGUGCUCGGGGGGCUCUGAGAAAGGCUGGAGAUGAACCACCACUGCACUGCUGUGGGAGCUAUCAGCCAUCAGACAGUGCUGGAGGUGCACAGCUCCCCCCCGCCUGCACACAGCGCAGAUUUAAGCUGUUAUGCUUUGAGUGGUGGCUGUUUAUAUUCCCAUUGCUCUGUCCUUCUCUGACAUCAAUCUCCAGCCUGGUUUUGAUCUGAUUGCUGGUGCACACGUUUCCCUCAGUAACCCAGGGCAGUUUCACCCAGCGUCAGUGUCACUGCGUGGAGUAAACACUCCUUAUACCUUCUCGGGCUCCUUCAUGCAGAACAAGGUGACAUUUAGAGGUCCAUUUUCUCCACUCUCUCAGUAGAUGCUUUUUUCCUCUCUCCUUUUAUAUUAUUUGUGCCGUAUAUUUCAGAAAGUAGGUAUUUCUUUUUAAACACCACACUUCAGAAGAAAUGUGUCUGCAGAGAUGAACAAAGCCAAAGCCAGGCUCCUCUGUUAAUCCUCCACGGCUGGCAACACCACUUUGAUCCAGAAGACAUUUAACUCCAUUGUAGCUGAUAAACCCAGUGCCACCCAAGUCAGUGCACACAGCAAUCACCAGGCUGCAAGCUGAGUAAGCAGUUGUUACUCUGCAUUUAUAAGGGAGAGGAAAUUGCAAAGUUAUGCUUGGCUGCCAGGGGAAAAGGUGGAAGACGAAAGAAAAGCAGAAGGAACUGCCAAACAGUGCUCUGCAUGCAACAAACAUUGCACCUGAAAAUGAUGCACCUCCGUAAGGGACAAAGUUUGCUUUCAGAACAGCUGCCAGCUCGGUGAGCCUGCAUUGUGCCCUUCCUUCUCAGUCACUCAGAGCUGAGAAAUGAGCAGGGGAUGAUGCAGCACUCUUGUUCCAGAGGAAGUGGUGACAUUUACUCAUUGGGUCGUUGGGUUUUUUUUAACACACUUCUGCAUUUUCAACAGAAAUGACAAGUUCUCAGACCUUAUAAAGCAAUGCCUUGAGCCAGAAAAUGCCCCUCCCGAGCACAGCCUGAACCAAGCUCAAGGCAGUGGUACAGUGAACCUUAAUUAGACCACAUGAAUAAAGCAAGUUAUGUGCAAAGGCCUCAGCAUGCCACCCAGGCUCAGAACUGAACUUCAAACGACUGUCACCUGAGCCAAAGGAUCAGUGCAGAACCAGUGCUUGCUGUUACUCCUGUUAUAUGUGCUUUGUUACUCCACUGGGCGUUACAAACAGAAUGCUAUGGGCUGAGCACUCAGCUCCAACACGACAUGCAGACCUGUGUAAUGUCAUGGGCUUAUAAAAUGAUUUGCUUUCCAUUUGUUGUCCCUGAGAUCUGGAUUUUUGCCUUACUGUCCACACAUGGCCCUCCACACUGCACUCUGUGCUGUGAAAAGGCUUUGUACAAAUCCUAAAAGGCAGCCAGAGAUAAUUCUGGUCAUCUAAAACGAUGACCCACUGCACAGACAAUGGAAAAGGCAUUCGGGUUAAUUUGCUGUCAUUACCACUCUGAAUGGCAGGCAGACAGGACUCAGUCAGCAGGACAGAACCGUUCUUCCUCCUCCAAAAUCACCACCUCAGAGGAACAACCCCCGAGUGAAGCCCAGCUCAGUCUUCACAUCCAGACCGUCACAGCUCUUGGUCUUCAUCUGCCAACUUUAAGCAGCACAGUUAAGAUGAACUUUUCCUGUUCUGAGGCCACAAAAUACCAGGUCAGGAUUUCUACGCUCUCUGAGAUCAUUCCUUCAACAUCCCCUUUUUAAUCACUAUUAAUGGGCAUCAAAACACAAAGGAUCUGUUUUUCUUUUUUUUAUUAUUAUUAUUAUUUCUAGCAGACAAUUUACAUAAAAUUCCCCUUUUAAGUUAGUGAUUCAUAACUUCCUGCAAUAAACUACUUAAGGAGCAGCUUUGGUAAAGAAUGGAAUGAAACAACCAACCAAAAAAUAAAAAUAAAAAAAAGAACAAUCACAGCCGAUUUUGAAACCAACACAAUUCACCAAAUUUAGAUUCAAAAGAAAAUCUGCCAAGCCGUUCUUUCUCAGUGUUUCCAAAUAUUCCACCUUUCUCCUCCCUUCUCAGGUUUGUGCAGACGUGGGAGCUGCGUUCUGUCAAGCAGUUUGUCCUGCUAGAUGCUGGAAAUCCAUCUUUACAUGAUUCGUAGACCUUGAAUGGAGGACUCUAAGGUCUUGGAAGAGAGAAAAUCGUAAUCACAAUGUGCUGAGUAUCCAGCGUUAAAUAACUCGUUGUAAAAGCUGAUAUAAGAAGAAAGGAGCAAUACACAAGACUCGAGAUUAUUCUUAUUCAAGAGUCAGAGAGCACUAUAAGCAUUCAUUUCAAAGUCACACACACAGACCAACAGUUCCACCCCCUCCCUGCUGAAGCAGCAUUAAAGCAGUUCACACAUUACCUCAAUUUCUCAUUCGGCCCUUGUCCCCACCAAAGCAUCCUGGCAUGAUAUAAUGUAAAUAAUUGUUGUCCUAAAAGCCAGUGUACAGUUUGGGGAGGUCAGCAGAGACCUCUGUUGGCCAAUCCUUAGCAAAGCAAGGACUUGAAUUAAAUCUUUGGAGGCUUUCCAUACAGUGCUUACUGUACUUUGUUAAUCGUUUGAAGUAACUAUCUACUACCCUGAUAUGUUAAUUAAGAGAUGGCAGGAGCAUGUUCUGCAGAAAGACAGUGAACAGAGUCCAAAGGGAUGGGAACAAGGAGAGACACUGAGCCUUGUCAUAUUAAUAACUGUUCUACAGCCUGACUGUGGCUAAGCACAGGCUGGAGAAGCAAAGAACUGGUGAGAUUACUGCAGGUACAGCAUGCAAUUUCAUUAAAAAAUUAAGUCUGGAUCAGUACCAUCUGCUAGGCAAAACAUCUUUGCAUUAAUGCUGGCUCCUGGCUCUGCCUUGCUCGUGGAGUUCACUAAUGCUCCCGAUAUUCCAGUCUGGAUUUCCUACUUCCUGCUAGCAAAACUCAAAUUAGGGCUGUGCUCCAGAAACUGAUGCUAGAGAUUGAAAAAGUAAUCACUGCAACCAGCUCACAUAAACACAGCAGUAAAAAGCAUACCUUGAAGUCCCAGAUGGUCAUCGCUCCAUCGAUGCCAGUGGUGCAGAAUUUACGACAGUCCCGUUUGUCUAUCUCAUAAAUAGACACCUGGCUGAAAGCAGAGAGCGAGAGCUGUAAGGCAGACACCCAUCCCUGACAGCCAAAAAGCUGGGAAGUUUGGGCUGAAUUCAACUCCUACUCUUCCGAAGGGAGACAUAAGUAUAGCAGAGCUUAUGCUAGGUUUCUGGCAUGGUGCUUCAGGAAAAUAAGCAAAGAGAGGAUGCUGAAAGCUCUUAUCACUCAAUGGCUGAAGACUAAACAUUCUCCUCGGAUAAAGACAGUUUGCUCCAGAAAUGUUAGCAUCUUCUGGGCUCACACACUUUUUAAAUACAAGAAUAUUUUACUCAAUUAGCUUGAAUCAAUCCUUUUUGAUGAAUAAAUGAAUAGAGAAACAACAUCUGAAAUAAGAAGCUGAUAUUUGAACCCCUGAUCCAGGUGAAUUCUCCUAACUGUGUUUUGGAGUACUACCAACCUCUUGUGAAUUCUUUACAUAUUUGAUAAGAUAAACUGCAUUCAAGUCACAGGACACAUUAAACACAAGCUAACAGGAAUAGCAUGCAUGCAAUGUUAAUAAUUAACUUUACCAGCUUCCACAAAUCCCAGCAACACACAGGUGUUAGUGAGAGGCUAGGAUGGAUAUGGGAUACCAGCUACACCCAUCUGGCACGGCAAAUCUGAGCUCUCACAGGUCUGUGGUACAUCCUGUGAUAUCAAAGUGAUGAGGAGCAUUCCUUGCCCUCACUUUGCCAGCCAAGACACUCACGUUAUACUGUUUUGGUGCAGAGUCUCCAGGGUAGUGUUACGAUCUUCUGUAGUGGCUCUUUUAUCCAUAUUUCGGAAGCGCUCCAUAGCAGAAAUAUUGCGCUGGAUGCUCUGUUUUGGGAUGUCUAGUUUCGAAACGAAGGUCAGCAAGCCACGGUCAUCACAGUUAAAAAGCAUGGGGCAGCAAUCAUGGCCCUGCAACCACACACCGUGAGAGCAUGUGAAGAACCAGGGUUUCUCUUGCUCUGUUGUUGUUAAUUGCAGAAAUGUAAAGCUUGACACCAUGGCAGAUCUUGCUUAUCACUAACUUUACAACUCAUGGUGUUUUUCUCACUCUCCAAAACACUGCAAUACUCUACAAGGAAGAAAAUAAAGACACUUACAGCUGCCACCACGCUGUUCUCAGAGACAAAUGACACGCUCAGGAGUGGAAGGAAUUCUGUUUUCAGCUGCGAAACCCUGAACACAAGAAUGUUUGUUAAGGACUUCAGUGAAACCUCUCAUCUUUGGUUCCAGUAAAAAAUAAGAGACAACUCCCAGACAAGGAUUAGUGGAAUAGAAUUCAGUGGAGCUCAGCUGUCCCACGGUGAUACCAGUAGGCUGAAAUCUGUAAUACUUCCCCCCCGCAAAAAAAGGUUCAAAUUCAAGAAGCUAUUAAUUUCAUCUACAACAUAAAACCACUUGAUGUUUUAGUCCUCGGCAUCAGCUCUUUAGGAGGAAAAAGUCAGGGCAUUAAAUUAGGCCAGUUUUUGUGAUUUUUGUAAUAAAUGAGAAAGGAAUUCUAGAACAUUCUAUACUUAGUGAUAUCCUUAGCCAGUUACUUACACAGCUAAGGCCAUCAGAAUCGAAACUCAAAGCUAAGCACAGCAAUACCUGAUCCACCAGAUACCUGUGCUAUCAAAAUGCACACAAAGUCUUCCUUCUUAGUCAGAAAACCAUGGAGACUGAGAAGUUAUUAAGAUCAAGGAGGAACUGUUAAUUACUUUGAUGGAUUGGAAGCAAGUGAUGGUAUUCUCACUGAAGAUGUCUUAAAAGAAACUUGAAUUAUACACAAUAUAGAAUUGUAAGAAUCUACCUUAUUUAUGUAGGCCUCAAAGAGACUCCUAUAACAUACAGUAAACUGGAAACAGCAGUCUCAGCUUUCCUCUUGUUGCUGCAAGUCCAGUAUUGCACACACUGCCUCCUUCUAAUGUCCAACAUGGAAUAGUUAACAGAAAGAGCAUACUUACAUCAUAUUUUUUGAAGCAUCAGCAACUGACACAGUGCUAUCAUGGCUGACCCAGGCUAGGCGGUUACCACUGGCAGAAAAGCUGACACUGUGCACCCAUCCACCACUGCCAGCACCCCCAAAUUCUGACAUCAGCUGCCCAAAAGGCAUUUUGGAGCCCCACGGUGUACUGGCAGGCUUCUCAUCCACUUCCUUGAUGUAAGCAGAAAACACCCUGCAAAUAAAACAUUUCUGCGUGAACAAAGAAAUAAAAAAACCACCUGGAAGCUGUACAUACAUUUCACAUUGGAAACAAUCGGAUGCCUUCUAAUUCUACCCAAAUAAAAUAGUACAGUGUCUUUUAACAGUAAUCCACACAGGCUGGGAAGUUUCAGUACACAGAGAGAAAGCAAAAGCACACGGGUGUGAUGCAGGUUGCCUUCUCACAAAUGCUUCUUUCUUUUCUAAUCUCUCUGCUAGCUUCCAGAAGAUGGCACAAAAAACACACAACGCCCUUACAUUUUUUGCUGUGCUGAUUUCUCUUCCAUCCUUCUGCAGUGCUAUUAACUCUCACAGUCAAUUCUCCAGGAAGAGAGGAAGAGAAAAACCCAGAGCUACCACACGUAAUUAUGUUCUUAGACAUACUAAUAGAAAAUUACCCACUUUUUAAGAACAUUCACUUUUUAGCAGGAUUUCAAAGAAAGAAAAUGGAUGUUCAGCUGCCAGCACGGGGGCUCUGAACCACCUCAAUCUGGCUCCUUAUGGAAGGAAUGCCUUGAAAGCAAAAAAUACCACAGUGUUUUUAUGCUUUUUUUUUUCCCAGCACUACAAUUUUCAAGAUAUGUUUAAAUAGAAAGCCCUCCCCCUUUCAUCAGAUUCCUUCUGCAUGAUUCAGACGUGCCACAAUAUGGUGUUCCCAACUGUUGCCAUGGAAGUUACUAGCACGUCACAGACAUAGGAUUAGAGUCCAUUGAACAGGAGAAGGAAGUGAGUGGUGCCAUACUACAAGCAGAGAUAUUUCAGUAAGAAGGAAAAGCAGCGAUCAAACAUUCGUGGCUGCAGCCAAACAAAAUGAAAUCGUUUCACAGUGACUUGAAGGAAAAGUUGCUUCCUGUACCACCACCACCCUAUUUUUCACUUUUAAUCUUGUGAGUGUGGAAUAUGGACUUCAAAAGGUGUCUAUGUUCAGUUUAUUCAAAUAAAGCUGUUCAUCUGGAAUGAGAAGGGUUUAACUGUAGCUAUAUUAGGUACAGAUUUUCAGAGAAUUAAGUAAGAGUUUAUGCUCAGCUCUAUCAGUUUAAAUAUAACUUAACAAUAAUCCUUCCAGAAACUUAAUAUUAUAGAGCCACCAGAAAGGAUGGUUCUCUUAAUGUAUGAAAAUAGGGCAAGAUGUUUAAAGCAGCAGCCUUUGACACGAGGCAGAAAAAUCAUUCCUAAGUAGUAAGAGACCUUGAACAGAACUGUUGGCAAAAAGAAAAUCUUCACUUAUUGAAGUCUCCCUCUCAGAUCCACCUCAGCUUGAAGGCCCCAGCCUUCAAAGAACAUCGGGAAAUGACUUUCAUUCCCAUAGCAACAUUGUUCCAGCAAGAAUAUACAAUUAUCACCCAUGCUGUUAGCUCUAUAUAUAAUAUACAAGUACAUAUUUCUAAAGACAAACGUAAGAGGAGCUCAUCUAGGGCCAGCCUCUAAAAAACUGCUGAACACCAAACAACCUGGAGUCUCUCCUGCCCUCCAUUCCUUUUCCAAACUGCCUGCCACUCAGCUGCUUAUGAGCUGGCAGUGUCUCCAGCAGAUCCAUUUCCUAGUCUUCUCCAGAACCACCUAUCAGAGCAGAUGUAUACUUCAGCCCAGAUAUGUUUCUUAUCUUUAGCAUGUAAUUGCACGUUCCCUAAAGGUGGAAUUCUGCAGAUCUUUAGUCAUCAUCGAGCAAAGACCAUAUUCCUCCUGAGCAAAGUUUGGAGACAAAAGAGCUAAAGCCCAAACUACAAGACAUACAUAGAUCAGCUAACAUAACACCACAGUCCCAAGAUGCUUUAUGAACACACACGAAAAAAUUUCCGCAUGUGAAUAGCAGCUGCUUCUAGAAGAUGAGUGAGUACACCACACUGUUUUGGGAAAGGAAAUGAACACUUAGUUUAUUUAAUUAAAACUGGAGAUAAGGCAGGAAAGGGAGACAACUCUCCUCCUCUUGCCCAGCUGCCAUUUAACAUCUCUGCUUACACAAAAACGUAACAAAGGAUUGACUUCAGAUGCACGUGUUUUAUUCUGAAACAAGGGGUGCAACAGUUGGCCCCACCUCCCUCUCCCACUCCUUCUUAGUUAUUUUUAGUAUACAUUUUGAAGCUUCAAAAUUGCCCUAUUACAUAAAGAAAUUAAGAAAAUAAGCUUCAUUAUUAUUCAAGGAACGAGUGAUUAAGUAAAAUACGAACUGAAGUCAAUCACCCUAUGAACAGCUCCCCAUGCAAGCUUCAGUGCAGUGACUCCAGUAAGUCAGCACAAAGCAACCUGCAGAACCCAUCCCUCAUGGUGUAACUUCACAACCCCAUCCAUCUCAAAUGUCAGUCUGCUUAUACCCCCUUCCUACUGCACUGCAAAAAUGGUGCUUUGAUGCACUUGAGGUGCAUCAGUUCCUUGACUUAGCUUACCACAUGCACGAAUGGUAAGGCUAGCACAGGCAAAGUGAACAAGUGACUCAGAGAAGAGAAAGGUGAGACACCUCCUCUGCAAGCUGCAGCACUAGGAUACUGCUUUUUAAACUCUGAUGAGCAAUGGUACAUUUCUACCAGAUAGCAUCUGUAAGUUUAAUUUCAGACUAAAAGCUCUGUACUCAUUACACCUAUAAUAGCAGUACUUCCAUGCUCUGCUAGUAAGGAAACUCACCAGCUCAUUAAACUCAGUUGUAUCCCCCAAGAGAUUAAUGUUAGUAGCCCUAAGCAUUCAUGCAGCAGCAGCAAAGUCAAAGUCUCUUAAGCUGGGUAUUUUAUUUUGGUAACAACAUCAUUAUGUGAUGAGCUGUCUUCUAUUCCAAUAGCAAAUGCACAGUCAUCGUGCUCGUGCUUCUCACUUGAACCAGUGAGCCCAACUCAUUUAGAUACUUUAUUUUCUCUCACCUGCACUUGAAGUCACAGGAUCCAGCAGCCAGCAGAACAUUAUUGGGGUGCCAGUCCAGGCUGAGGACAGUAGAACGAAUGGGCUUUUUAAUGUGCUUGCUCACCCACCUACAUUAAAAAAGAUGAGAUUUUUAUGUAAAUAUUUUACCCUACUCCUCAAAACCCAAGAAAUAAGCCUCAAAAACAUGACCUCUUGUCAAUGACCAAACACAAGCUUUGCUAGAAAACUCACAUUAUGCCCAAGCCUUGCAUAUUUUAUGUACUGUCUGUGAACUUUAUGUGGUUAUCUUAAUUAAAGUUUUAAAUACUACCAACAAAGUCACAUUAAAUAUGCAACUCUUCCUCUGAAUCUAAUUCAUCUUCUAAUUUAUGUUUAUAAUACAUCAGACUGAAUUCCUUCACAUGAAUUUUGCACAGUAAUUGCUUGGCCCCUUCCAUCUCGAGAACAACUGUUUUGACCACGGUGUUGAGCUAUGAAGCAUUAUUUUGUUACAUCACUGAGUACACUUCCUCUCGUGCUUCUUCCAGUGAGUUACACAGCCAUCUCCUUUGCUUGCCAACUUUUCUAGUGUACAACAGCUAUAAAAUCCAACACAUAAACGGGUGAACUGCCAAUGAUACGGCCAAUGUCUGUAUCUCAAUUAGCUGCAGUACAGUAAAAAGUGGUCCUAUUGUUGAAUGCAUUAAUGCUAACUUAAAUGUGUCUCAGCAAAUCUGUUUGAACUGUUUACUGAGUAGUGGGGAAAUCUGUUAUUCACUGGGUGGCCUUUGGGAUGAUGGUGGUUUUUCUUUGAAUUUACUUCCAUCAGCAGUUCUAAGGGCCACACUUAAUUAUUUGCCUUCAACAUAGGAGAGUCUUGAUUCUUCUACAAACAAGUGAGGCAGAUAAAACAUUAAUAACUGAAUAUAUUGGAAAGCAUAAAAAUCCCAAACAGUCUUUAAAGUGAAUUUUGCAGAUGGUCUCUUUGUUUAGCAUCUCCACGUGGACACUGUAUACAGAAUGGUGGGAACAGACACCUGUGUUUUUACAAACAUUUACACAACCCAAACUAAUGGAUACCUAACAUAUUGAUUUCACCUACAGGUGAUAUGGUAAAAUGUAGCUCCAAUACACAUAGCUACAAAGGUAGAUCUCUUAAAGAUGAGAAGCUCCAACUUUCCAAACAUAAUAUCAGCGGCAGAAAUAUUUGUGAUAUUCCUGUCUGAAAUCCAUGAAUUGUGAUGAGAAUAAAUGACAGCAUACAGAACAGGUAAAUGAUAACCUUGAACAUCUGCUAUUAGACCACCCUGGAGAUAUCUGACAGAUUUCAAUAUUUUAUUGAGAAGAAAUGAUCCAGCACAGAAGAUGCAAGACCAAGCUCUUUAUUCAGUCAGGAAGGAGCGUGGGGCAGGAGGAAACAAGUGGUAAAGAGAUGUCUGCUUUGCAGAAAUUCUUGUGCUUUUAGAAGUGCAACUUCAGUUUAUGGCAGUCAACGAGGAUACACCUCUGUCAACACAUAUAACCUGAAAACAUGCUAAGUCAAAGGCUUUUAGGUGCUGCACUACAGUAAAGAAGUAAAAGAAAGAACCUUUCCCCUAAAAUGCAGAAGUCCAUGAAAGAACUGUUGAAGCCUAUUCCUCUUUAUUGCCAGACGAUUUUAGAAUUAGUGAAACAGUGUACUUAUGCUAAGUGUAGAAAUGCUAAGUCAUAGCUUGAAGCAUUGAUUGAGCACCUGCUGGGAAGGCAGGGCCAACCCAAGGGAGCUCAGGUGUAUGCAAUGCAUCUGAGUGAUCAGAAGGGUAGAGCCAGGAUCCACCCCUUCCCAGACCUCAUUUAAGGGCUGGCAGUGAAGGCAAGGAGAUCUUGGUGGAGAUCUCUGUCUGCUAGAGUCCUUCUAAAGGUAAGCAAAUUUUCUUCCUUUGUUAUCUGCUGUGGUUGCAGACUUUGCCAUCCUGCUAUUAUUGCUAUACUUCCCAUCACAUUAAUUGUUAGAAAUAGUAACUUGGUUACUGCCCCUGAACUCCAGACUUUAGCUUCUCCAGGCAGCCCUUACAGGUAUAAACAAAAAAUCAAACGGCUCACCAGUCAUUUUCAGAUUCAAAGUAGCACACAGAUAUAAGUCGAGCUCCGCUUCCGACAGCAAAUUUAUUCUCCAAAGGAGACCAUUUCACAAAGGUGGCUGCACGGUUAAUUCUCAGGAUCACAAGUGUUGGUUUCCACACGCCAUCCUUCUGACUCCAGACAUAGGCAUUGCGGUCUGCACCGCAGGUUACAAUGCGAUCACUUUUGGGAGCCCAGUCAAUACCUGCAAUUCAGACUUCGUGUUAAUAUUUCCCAUUUGCUUUAUAGUAAUUCAAAACAGACAGUCUUAUAGCCUUCUCCUUUGGAGACAGUUAUUGGUCUUAUGUUGGUAUUCCCCUUGCUCCCUUAUUCUCCAGGUGCUGUUUUAAACUGUUAUGGAUAUCAGCUCCUCCAUCUAACUUGCACCAAAAGUGCAUAUCCCAAAUUUUGAGAUUCAGAACAGAGAAUCUGCUCACUGAGCAAGCUAGCCAACAGGUGGAGCUCUGCAGGCUGGCUAAAAUCCAGCCACAGUCACUCUUCAAACCACUGCCUUUUGCAUGAGGCUCAUUGUGGACAGCUGAAACCAGCUAUUCUAAAGCCAUGCACAAACAUUUAACAUCUGCUUGAUGCCAGACUGCAGUAUGACCUAAAAGUUUAGCUAACAAGGUGUUGAGACUUUUCAGUUAGCAGGUAUUGAUCCUUAUGUACUAUUACGAUCCCUACACUUAUUCCAUGCCUAUUUAAGCCGUACCAUGAGAAAGUCUAUCAAGCAAAAAUAAAAUUUAAAAAAAUCAUAAAAUAAAACAAAUCAAAACCUUUGAUAAACUUGCCAUUGCUUCCUUCCCUUUUCUAUGCAAAGGAGGAUGUUCUCAACUGGAAACUCUCCUGGCAACAUUAUUUUUCAUCCUUUCUUUAGAAUCCUUCUUUGAGAUGCAGGGUGCAAUCCUUAACUCUCCUGCUAUAGAACUGUACUUAAACUGUUUUCUAUAACUGCAUUGUGUAUUAAAAACAUCCCUUAGGCACACAAACUGAAAAAAAGGAUUAGGGAAAGCACUUGUACUAACUUGUGCCAUAUUGUUCACACACGAUCCUUCUCAAAAUAGGGUUAUGCUUAAGAAGUUCAAUUUUGAAGUGGUUGAUAAUCUGAAACCAGAGUUACAUGAGCCAAUUUUGCACUGCUUUUGAAAGGGAGAUCACUGUGUCCUUUUUUUCCUCUGUCAUUCCCACAUCUCCCUUGAAAUUAGCACCAGUGUUCUGAUUCUGAACUUGCCUUAGGUCUUUAGUUUAGCAGAAAACUAACUUUGCAAGAAGAGUGGAUAAUCUUCAAGACAAAAAAAAAGCAACACUAGGAACCUUGUCCCUUAUGAUCAGAAUUUAGAGUGGCAGCGGCCUCCUGUCAGAGGCAACAUGUGGUUUAAGCAGUCCACCUCCUGUGUCUAACCACAAUUUAGGUCCACUCUGUAAGAUAAGUGCAGCAUUUAGUAUUCCAAAGGUACAAGCUCCGGUGGAGAGCAGUCUGAGCUCUUUUCCCAAGUUAUGAAUAUCUGGCUUCUCUCUAACAUCAACAGGUAAAAGUAAAAUGUAGAGAAAAGCCUCUGGGGGAAUGGUACAUCACUUGUAAAUUCAACCCAAAUGAGUCUUCACAAAAGAGCAAGUACAGUUGUGCUCUGAAUGUAAACACCAGAUAGAUUGAAUAAAGUUCCUGUGAAAUGCUGUUAGGCAGACAGUUCUGCCAUUAGUGAGUUGAGGAUGGAAUAAAGGAUAUUGCUGUUUUGGGCAGGCUCUUUUAUCACAUGCACUUUAUCCUCUAAGAAAAUGGAAGUAAUUAAUACUUUGAGGACAAAGAAGAACACUUGUGGAAGCUCUUACAUUUUUUGUUGUGGAUCCACAGAUGGGUCUGCAGUAAAAUGUGCCCGCUGGCUGUCUGCCCUAAGCUCAAGACUGAUCACUUCAAAUGCAAUUAUACCUCAGAACUGUCCUUUCCUUGUGUAUGGUAACUGAGUCACAGCCUGAACCACUGAUUGAGCACCUGGGGAAAGGAACUGGUCAGGCCUGGGAGCUCAGGUGAAGGUAAUUCAGCUGUGGGACAGGAAGGGGUGGAGCCUGGCUGCACCCCUCUUAGACCUCAUUUAAGGGCUGACUGCCACUGGGGAAGGAUCUCUGGUUGGAGAUCACUCCCUUGUGGAGUUUUCCUUGUGAGCUUAGAUCUUCAGAGACAGGUGAGCACCUUUUGUUCUCCUUUGUAACACCAUACCAUUUGUGUUAGCCUAUUUGUUGUUAUAUUCCUGUAUCAUCCUUCCCACUGUGUUGAUCUUUUGGACUGUAACACCUUGUAAGACCAAAUUACAGCCACCAGUGAAGAAAUGUUAAAAUAUGAGUCAUCAAGAAUCCAGUCUUCUGAACAUAGCCAAAGCAGGGUUUUUGUUGUCUUGCUUUUCACUUUGCAGUUAAGUCAGUUCUUAAAGCUUUCCUUGUAUCUGGCUUGAAAGAAGUGCUCUUUCUGCUCACUGAGGAUGAUACACAAACACUUCUCUGCAUUAGCACUGAGAAAGGGAAGGACUCUUUCUAUCAGCAUCUGUGGCAACUUAAGACACUUACCAACCUAUAGCCAGAGUACUGUAGCAAAGAGAAAGGAGAAAUGUACCAAUAGAAACUUGGUGAAAUGAGUCCCUAAAAAAGACUAUUUACUGCUGUCAGAAACCAUGAACCAACCAACAGUUCACUGCAUGCAGGCCAGGAAAAUGCUUCAAAGUUCCCCAUAAAGUGGGAAUACCAUCACAUAAAGAGAUCUAUUUACUACAGAUUUCCUGUUCAGAUGCUUAGCUGGGGAAAGAAGGGUGCAGAAAAAUUGCUGUCUGGCGCAGCAUGCUCUUUGCCUACCUGUAAUGUGUCCAUUAUGUUCCUUUAGCUCAUGAGCUUUUACCCACUGGCUCCCAUUCUUCUUGUAGAUGUGAACUUCAUGAUUAUUAGGGCUAAUGGCAAUUUCUUGAAGAAAAGAAACAAUCCAUUAGUACAGAAAGCUUAUUUAAUACCCUUUUACUUGGAAAAACUUCCCAGUCUAAAACUUGUACUCUUAACUUUCAGAGCAUUAAAUUUUGUAAACCAAGGGCUAACAUCCCUGCUGGAUAAUCUCAAUGAUGGCCAUAACAUGAUUGUGAGUACACUAAACAGAAGGACAGCACAGUUGCAAUGUAAUGAUUCAGUUGUAGUAGAAGACUAUAUAUUAAAAGAAAAGGCUAGGUGUGGGGCAGGGAGAUAAGAGGUUAAAGAGUAUGAGACAAGUCAUGCUCUGAUGAGGUACAGACCAAGAGGCAAAACUUUCUGGAACCCCACUAAGACUGGAUUUGCUCACAUGUCAAAGUUUCAGGAAAGGUCCUCAAAGAAAAAUCCUAACCAGAUUUAGGACUGUAGCAUGCUGCUUGGAUUAUAAGUGUAGCACUAUAUAUUUGACCACAUCUUCCUUAAAUGUGGUCCAGAACAUCUCAAGAUCAAUCAAUUGACAGCACAGAGGAAAGAACAGUUGAAAAAGUAAAUGAAAACAUUACUUACGAGUACGGUCUCUGUUCCAUGCAUGGCAGGUGAUUGGCUCCAAUAAGAACUGAUGUAGAGACAUUCCGAGUUAAAGAUAUUCCUAUGUUGUAAAAGUCAGGGGGGGAAAAAAACUGAAAAGUGUAAAAAGGACAACAAAACACUUCAAAGUUAAAGAGUUAUAAAAACAAAUCAGUCUUCAACAUCUACAAAGGCUGUUUCAGUCCAGUAUGAUGAUUUAUUUAGACAAUGACACAAUCUCAGUAGAUUAAGACCUUUCCCCAUGUGCCCCAAGAUCUUUUGAAAGCCAAUGAAUUUUAACUGUCCUGCUUCCUCCAGCUAAUUGCAAUAGCUCUAGAAGGUGUAUGCUCUUUCUUCUUACUGUAUCCUCAUAUGAGGAAACAGAUUCUUAAGAAAUCUAACAUACCUAACAAUUUAACUGUGGAAUUAGAAUACUUAAAUAAGAAAUUUAGUGACAUCUCAGUGAAUUGGUUCGAAAUUGUGGUGUGUAUUGAGGCUCACUGCACUACAAUGAAACCUUUUUUUUUUCCAUCUAUCAGGAGGUUAAACUGAUGUGCUCAGAGAUUACUGUAAUCUGAUGAUGUAUUAUUUGAUAAAACCAUUUAUAUGUAUCCUAGGGAAAAAUUACUAACAUCAGUAAUUAACUAAUUACUAAUUCCUUCAAAUUAAUCUUAACACUUAACUGCUUUAUGGCUUUCAUCCCCAUGAGAUUCAAACAGUGAAAGAUCAAACUGAAUUCUUUGGGUUGGUGAAUACUGUCUUUUACCAAGCUAGACACCUAGUUUUUCUUUUCUCUUACAAAAGAGACAGUGCUGAACAUCUGCAAACAGGUGAUUGCAGAGCUGUUUAAAAUCAGAUUGUAUUUCUGUGUCCUGUGUUAAUCAAGGACAGCAUAAAGGGAUGGAAGGUAGCACUGUAACAACUCAAGGUCACCUGUAAUAGCUGAAAUAUGCACAGCUCAACACAUACAACUUGGAUGUAUUGAUUUCCUCCUCCUUUCACAUAUUCCAUUAAUUUUUGUAGCAGUUUAUCCUCGGCUGAUGGCACAAUGUCUGUCUGCCCCUCCACAUACAUCUAAAAAGCACCAUCUCUGUGAUGUCACUCCAAGACAUCCACACCCAUUGCAGCCUGAAAUUACAACAUAGCCAAGUAUGGCCAUGUUAGCAGAGGGUGGAGACUUCAGGACAAGGUAGGAAUUUGGAAGCAAACAGGAAAUGAAUGGCAAUCCCACAGAAACUCAGGAGUAAAUGAGAGAUGAGUAACCCCUUACAGAGCUGAGCAACUGUGCAUGUUUCUUACACUAGUGAAGUGCUACAAAGUCCUGAGUAGAGAUGCUGCAGUACUUCGCCAAUGCAAAUAAUUGGACAGAUUCUUUUCUUUAAAAAGUCAAGCACUGUCAUUAUAUAUUAUAAAGAAACAUGAUUUGCAGUUUCAUUAAAUGUACUUAAAAUAGAAACUUUGGCUAAACAAGCUUAAGUCCAGUUCAUAACUUUAACUGUAAUCAUUUUCUUAGUUCUUCUAAUAAUCAUAUGCUAAAGAUCAAAUAAAGCUACUGCAUGCAGGCAGCCCUAAGAAAAAUGAUUAUUUUUAUUAAUGUGGGAACACUGACACAAUCCAAGUUACCUUUGACCUUGAGCAGCUAUGGUUUGAGAUUCUGUGCGUUAACAUAAGCAAAACAUGACUGCAAAUUGCUUUUUCCACAGUCUUGCUUUAGUACAUGCCAACAACUCAGUAGCAGUGCAUUUCCAUAUACAGGAAAAGCUGAAGAGCUCUUCUACUGACAGGGAAUGCUCAGCCUUUUUGACUCUUUUCAACUAAAAUGUAAAACUAUCCAAUCUCUGCCCAAGGAACACAGCUAUUUCCAAACACUUUCUAAUACAGUUCUCAUGCUUUCUCCACAGAUUGGCACCCUGUACAAACACCAUCAUCCCAUCCUAUCAACUCCUACUUGAGAUAUUUUUUUGCUCACUAACCUACAGGCUGCUCCCAAAGCUUACAUCUGGACAAGGGACAUGAUGCAUUCUCAUCCACUGAGCUUCUCAAGCACCAUAACUUGCAGCAAGCAGCUGGUUUGGGUUUGGUAAUGCUCAUUAAGAAACAAGAGUGGUGGUAAUCUCAAAAUGCACAAAUAUUUGUCAUCUGAUCAUUGCAAUCUUUCCUUUGGGGAGAUAAAUACUGUUUGCAAGAUCUUACUGUGAUUUAUUUCUUAUCAGCACAGAGACAGACCGGCUGAAUGACUCCAUACAACUGAUACAUAACCUUUCAGUGUUCUCCUGUCUGCCAACCUCAGAAUUUCACAUAGGAAAGGCACUGUCAUAAUAACUUUGUUAGCCCUUCUCUUCCCUCUAUUUUUCUUUCAAAUGCAAACUAACUGUCCUCGAGUUUCAAUGUAUAUUUUUUUUAAGACAUAGGUGAAAAAAGGACUCCUGCAUGCUUGCACAGCCUGAGCUUUCUGAGCACAUCUACUGAAAACCCACCCCUGGGAAGCACAGACUGAGCUGCUGUCACCUCCCGAGAAGCACGAGGCCAUCCCUGGGCGAGCAGCGAGCGAGGAGAUGCAUCCAAAUCAGAGGCAGCGUGUGAGGUUCUACAGCUUCUCCAGCCAUUCUAUUUCUGCACACUAGUUGGUUUUGUUGUCAUCUUUUUUGCAAGAUCAUCUCCUUUAGAGGCUUAUUGUGGAGACUGAAAAUUCUGCAGAACGUGGUGUUUCUAUUUGGAGGACAGUUCUACAUCCAGUUACUUAAUCUGAAAAGGAACAGCAGGAUAAAUAAUCACAGAGGGGAUUUGAAGUGUUGAUGUAGAAUUAUGAGGAUCAAAAAAAGAAAUGGGAAGAUGGUAUCUACCCUGGGAGUCUGGAGAUGCUCGUGCUCUUGAGUUUUGUUGCAACACAGAAAUAAAGGGUGCAUGUUGUGGUUCUGCUCCUGACACAGCUCUUUUGCCAUGCAGGAAGCCUCUGAGGAAGGCUGCCUUUCUAAAGAUUAGAUCCAAGUUGAUGGAAGUAAUCCCAGCUGACUUGGGCAGCGCUAGGUCAGACCAUAAACCAGGUGCUGGUAUGCUUGCUUAGUACCUCUGGAAUACUCAAAGUUGCCCUGCAGCUAACUGAAAAACUUGGCUUCAAUGUGAGAAGUAACUGAAGCACACAUUGGCAGUGGGUGGCAGAAGGGCCCAAGGUUUCAAAAGCGAACUGCGUGGGACCGCUGAAGAAACAGUCCAUUGAAAACCCACCUCAUGUAAGUUUUAGGCAAAGGUGGUCUCCAGCCCUUUCAAGCAGAAUUUCAAGUUGCUGAGCUCAUCCUCCAGCACCACUUGGUACUACUCAGGGUAGCACUUCCAUUGCCAGGAUCCAGCUCAGUAGAACAGUCCAUCUUUGCUCUCAUCAUUUGGCCCAAGCACACCUCAGCACCCAGCAAGUUCCCUCAUUCCUAUUGAAGAGAUGGGAAUCCAGUGUUCAUCCUGAGUACCCUGCUACACCUUCUGCUUCCGUUUCCAUUUGCAAGAAGUGUUUGCUGCUUCUGUGGAAUUUAUUAAAGAUUUCUUUAAUAAAA